AGCGGACAGGGUGUGGGUUGGAGUUGGAGAAGUGGGAUGGAGAAAUAGAAGCAUUCUACGUAAAGGCUAAUUAUAAUAGGUACAGUAGGCAGGGCACGCGGGCAAGUGUUUGCUCGCCUCGGGAUGAACGGAUGUAAUGUGCGCAUCCAUGCAGCGCAGCACAGGAGAGGGAGGGUGAAGGGAGGCAGAGCAAACAUUCACACGCGCAGCGUUUAUACAGAAGCAUAAACCAAAAAACAAAACAAAAACAACAGCAACAAGAAAACCCCCACCAAAACUCAGUGACCGCACAGCUGGAGCCAGAAACAGAUCGGGGGAGAAAGCACCAAACCGCUGGCUGAACUUUCCCGGUGAUUACGCAUGUGGACUCUCACGGACUGCGGCGUGGACACAGGGACAAAAUAGAGGAUCCAGGGGAAGAUGGACGCAGUUGUCGGUGCUGUUUUGCGGACUACAGUGUGAGCGGAUGAGGCGCGGGACUCGGAUCCGUUGUUUGUGAUCGCGCAAAAGCGCAGUAACGCACGCAGUGCUCUCUGUCUCGCAGUAAAUAGCCUACCACUUUCUUCCUAAGGCGUUAUCACCAUGAUGACUGCUUUCUGUUUUCUUCGAACGAAUGUGCUGUUGUGUCUUUAUCUGUGCCUGGAUCUCAAGAACGAAGUGGUAUUUAAUGUGCG
ensembl:lncRNA